AUACGGAGGGUGCAAGCGUUGUUCGGAAUUACUGGGCGUAAAGCGCGUGUAGGCGGUCGCGUAAGUCUGAUGUGAAAGCCCGGGGCUCACCCCCGGAAGAGCAUUGGAAACUGCGCGACUAGAGUGCCGGAGAGGAGGGUGGAAUUCCUGGUGUAGCGGUGAAAUGCGUAGAUAUCAGGAGGAACACCGGUGGCGAAGGCGGCCCUCUGGACGGAUACUGACGCUGAGACGCGAAGGCGUGGGGAGCAAACAGGAUUAGAUACCCUGGUAGUCCACGCUGUAAACGAUGGGCACUAGGUGUUCGGGGUAUUGACCCCCCGAGUGCCGCAGCUAACGCAUUAAGUGCCCCGCCUGGGGACUACGGCCGCAAGGUUAAA
rnacentral:rRNA from 1 species